UCCCUGGUGGUCUAGUGGUUAGAAUCCAGCACUUACACCACUGCUGUGGCCCAGGUUCAAUCCCUGGUCUGGGAA